UACGUAGGGGGCGAGCGUUGUCCGGAUUUAUUGGGCGUAAAGAGUUCGUAGGUGGUUUGUUAAGUCUGAUGUUAAAGAUCGGGGCUCAACCUCGGGAGUGCAUUGGAUACUGGCAGACUUGAGUGUGGUAGAGGCGAGUGGAAUUCCCAGUGUAGCGGUGAAAUGCGUAGAUAUUGGGAAGAACACCGGUGGCGCAAGCGACUCGCUGGGCCAUUACUGACACUGAGGAACGAAAGCUAGGGGAGCGAAUGGG
rnacentral:rRNA from 1 species